UACGUAGGGGGCAAGCGUUGUCCGGAUUUAUUGGGCGUAAAGAGCGUGUAGGCGGCCACGCAGGUCCGUUGUGAAAACUGGAGCUCAACCUUCAGACGUCGACGGAACCGUGUGGCUAGAGUCCGGAAGAGGAGAGUGGAAUUUCCUGGUGUGAGCGGUGAAAUGCGCAGAUAUCAGGAGGAACACCGAUUGCGAAGGCAGCUCGGCUGGGACGUUACUGACGCUGA
rnacentral:rRNA from 1 species